AGAUGACCUGUAUUCUUAGUGGCGGACGGGUGAGUAACACGUGAGCAACCUGCCUUCAAGAGGGGGAUAGCACCUGGAAACGGGUGGUAAUACCGCAUAAGACCACAGUGUCGCAUGGCACAGAGGUCAAAGGAGCAAUCCGCUUGAAGAUGGGCUCGCGUCCGAUUAGAUAGUUGGUGAGGUAACGGCACACCAAGUCGACGAUCGGUAGCCGGACUGAGAGGUUGAACGGCCACAUUGGGACUGAGACACGGCCCAGACUCC
rnacentral:rRNA from 1 species